CGCACGGCGAGGUCCCCUGGGAACUUCGGUCCAGCCUCCCUGCGAACGACGCCGAUGGGACCCCCGUCCCGUCGGUCCCGCCCCCAGCCCAGCCCUCCCGGGUGGCUGCGGUCCUCCCGCUUCCUGGCGCGCCUUCAGGAAGUGUUCCGACAAUAAAGACAUCAUCGAUAUAUUAACUCACGUCUUCAGAGCUUCAGGCACAUUCUGCAGAGACGUCCUCCAAAUGGAAAACAACGCUGCAGUAAAGCGGACAGUGUGGGCCCGGCUGUCACGGCUUUGAUGGCUGGACUUGGAACAAGGAGGGCAGAAGAGGAGUGAACGCUCACCAGCCCAGGACCCGGCGGGGACAGAUGACCCCCGUCCAGGCGGCCGGCCCAGAGCCGCCUCCACUCCCAUGUUGCUUCCCCUCCGUCUGCUUCUGCAGAGACGUUUCGAGAAGCAGUGGCUGCUUGUCACAGCCCGGUUCUGCCUCUGAAGCCGAUACCCAUGGAGAAUCUUCUAGAAGCCCAGGCUUGUGUCACUGCAGGGAGAGGAAUAAACAAAACACUCUGCUGGGACAGGCCAGGGGCCAGGGCGCCCCCGGAGCUGCAGCGGGGCCAGGAGGGGCCUGGAGGAGCGGGCCAGCAGAGGUGUGUUUUGAAAUCUGUUUCCUUUUGGCCACGCUUGAACUUCCAAGGGGCUGGGUUUGACUGACAGGCGCAGAAAGGGCGCGCUGGCUCCCCGGGGAGCCCGGGGCAGAGACGGAGGGGCUCCACAGGGGCUCGGCUCUCGCGCAUCCUCUGCCCUUC
rnacentral:lncRNA from 1 species